GUCGAGCCGGUGCUGCCGCGGCCACCGCCACCGCCCAGGGGCUCCGGGGCUGUGGGGAGCGGCUGAACUCAAUACCGCCUCCGCGCUGACUGGAAGGCACUGCGGCCGCGCCUGCCUGCCCCACCUCGUAAGGGCCUGUGACCUCACGAGGCCAGCCGCCGGGCGCUGCAUUCGAGCGGUGGGGCUCCUGUCCGUGCGCUUUCCUCCCGCAGCCCCGGCCGGGAUUCCGCCCUCCGUCCUUGCCACCCGCUCGCCACUCUUCCCUAAUCGCUGUUCAUUCUCCGGUGCGCUGUCCCGCCAUGGUCUGACCCCACUUCAAUCUUACCUUCGGUCCGUCCUUUGAACACCCCGACCCCCGACCCCUUUCUUCCAAAACAUUCCAUCCUUCUUGGCUUCUGCUACUCAAUAAUGGACAGCAGCUCGAAGGCCAUGUGUCCCACGGCUUUGCUGAAAUUUGUCUCGGGUUGCCUUUAAGGAGACUGUCGUUUCCUUUUGAAAGAGAUACUUUGGUUGGUUUGGUUUUCUUCUGUGUGUUUGUUUUUCCUAUGUAUUUAUCGUAUGCAGUUGGGCAAAAUACUUAACGCUCCCUGAGUCUCGAUUUUCUCAUUCUUCCAGGGUUGUGGGAAUUCAAAAAUAUAUACGUAGUGCUCAAUAAAUGUUACAAUAUUUAAUCCCUUCCGUGAUACUACUGUGUUCAUUUACAUCUUAAACCUUGCUUUGUAGGCAUUCUUUAAUAUUUUAUUUAGAUUUUUAUUAUUAUUAAAUAUAUGUACAAAUCAUAAUUGUAAAUAUUUAAUGGGGUACAAUGUUAUAUUUUAAUAUAUGUAUACAAUAUGGAACGACUAAGUCAAGCUUAACAUAUCCAUCACCUUGUUUAACGUUUUUUAUGGUGAGACAUUUGAAAUUUACUCUUAGCAGUUUUGAGAUAUACGAUAUAUUAUUAUUAGCUAUAGUCACCACACUAUGCAAUAGAUCUCAGAAACUUGCUGCUUUUGUCUGACUGAACCUUGUACCCUUUGAACAGCAUCUCCCCAUCCUGCAUCUCCUACCCGCCCCGUCCCUUUCCAGCCUCUAACAACUAUUCUACUGUCUACUUCUAUGAGUUUGACUUUUUAAGAUUCCACAUAUAAGUGAGAUCAUGUGGUAUGUGUCUUUCUGUGCCUGGCUUUUUUCACUUAGUAUGUCCUCCAAGUUGAUUCAUGUUGUCACAAAUGACAGAAAUUCUUUUUUAAGGCUGAAUAGUAUCCAUUGCAUAUGUUGAUUCAUGUUGUCACAAAUGACAGAAAUUCUUUUUUAAGGCUGAAUAGUAUCCAUUGCAUAUGUUUACUACAUUUUCUUUAUCCAUUCAUCCAUCGAUGGACACAGGUUGAUUCCAUUAUCUCAGCGAUUGUGCAUAAUGCUGAAAUGAACAUGGAAGUGCAAAUAAGUCUUUGAUAUACUGAUUUCAGUUACUCAAUAUAUGCCCAGAAAUAGCAUCGCUGGAUCAUAUGGUAGUUCUAUUUUUAAUUUUUUGGGAAACCUCCAUAUAGUUUUCCAUAAUGGCUGUAAUAACACUAACAGUGUAAAAGGUUUCUCCACAUCCUCAGCAACACAUUUUUUUCAUCAUUUUGAUAAUAGCAAUUCUUUUUUUUUUUUUUUUUUUUUUUUUUUGAGAUUGAGUCACUCUGUUGCCCAGGCUGGAGUGCAGUGGCACAAUCUCAAAUCACUGCAACCUCCAUUCCUGGGUUCAAGCAAUCUUCCUGCCUCAGCCUCCCAAGUAGCUGGGAUUACAAGCAUGUGCCACCACACUUGGCUAAUUUCUGUAUUUUUAGUAGAGAUGGCGUUUCACCAUGUUGGCCAGGGUGGUCUCAAACGCCUGACCCUCAAGUAAUCUGCCCACCUCAGCCUCCCAAAGUACUGAGAUUACAGGUGUGAGCCACCACACCCAGCUUAAUAGCCAUGCUAACAGGUGUGAGGUGAUAUUGUAAUCUUAUUUUGCAUUUCCCUAAUAAUAGUGAUUUUUUUUUUCGCAAACCUGUUGGCCAUUUGUAUGUCUUCUUUUAAGAAUGGCUGUGUCAGGCUGGGCAUGGUGGCUCACACCCAUAAUCUCAGCACUUUGGGAGGCCAAGGUGGGAGGACCGCUUGAGCCCAAGAAUCUGAGACCAGCCUGGGCAACAUAGUGAAGCCUCAUCUCUACAAAAAAAAAUUUUUUUUAAAAGUCUAUUCAGAUUAUUUGUCUAUUUUUAAAAUCAGGUUAUUUGCUUUCUUGCUACUGAGUUUCUUGUAUAUCUUGGAUAUUAACCUCUUGUCAGAUGUAUAAUUAGUAAAUAUUUUCUCCCAUUCAGCAGGUUGUCUCUUCACUCUGUUAACUGUUUCCUUUGAUGUGCAGAAGUUUUUAGUUUCAUGUAAUUCCAUGUGUUUAUUUUUUGUUUUCUCGCCUGUGUUCUUGAGGUCAUGUCCAAAAAAAUGCCCAGACCAAUGUAGUGGAGCUUUCCGCCUGUUUUCUUCUAGUGGCUUUCUUCUAUUUUUUCUUCUAGUAGCUUUCCCUCUAUGUUUUCUUCUAGUAGUUCCAGUCUUACAGGUAAGUCUUUAAUCCAUUUUGACUUUUGUAUACGGUGUGAGAUAAGGGUCCAAUUUCAUUUUUCUACACAUGGAUAUAUGGUUUCCCAACAGUUUUUAUCAAAGAGAUUCCUUUCCCCAUUGAGUGUUCUUGGCUCCUUAUCAAAAUUCAAUUGUCUGUAAAUUCUGGACUCUCUAGUAUGUUCUAUUGGCCAAUGCAUCUGUUUUUAUGGAAUACCAUGCUGUUUUGAUUACUGUAACUUUGUCGUUUAUUUUAAAGUCAGGGACUGUGAUGCCUUCAACUUUGUUUUUUUUUUGCUUUUUUUUUUUUGAGAUGGAUUCUGGCUCUGUCUCUCAGGCUGGAGUGCAGUGGCACAAUCUCGGCUCACUGCAACCUCCACCUCCUGGGUUCAAGUGAUUUUCCUGCCUUAGCCUCCCAAGUAGCUGGGACUAGAGGCGCGCACCACCACGCCUGGCUAAUUUUUUUGUAUUAUUAGUAGAGACGGGGUUUUUUUUUUACCAUGUUGGCCAGGCUGGUCUUGAACUCCUGAUCUCAUGAUCUGCCCGCCUCGGCCUCCCAAAGUACUGGGAUUACAGGCGUGAGCCACCACACCUGGCCCAACUUUGUUCUUUUUGCUCAAGAUUGCUUUGGUUAUUUGGGAUCUUUUACGGUUCCAUAUGAAUUUUAGGAUUUUUUUAUUUCCAUGAAAAAUAACUCUGGAAUUUUGAUAGGAAUUGCAUUGAAUCUAUAGAUCACUUUGAGUAGCAUGGGCAUUUUAAUUAUAUUAAUUAUUCCACUCCAAGAACAUGGGAUGUCUUUUCGUUUAUUUGUGUUUUUUCCAAUUUCUUUCAUCAGUGUUUUUUAGUUUUUAGUAUAAAGAUCUUUCACUUUCUUGGUUAAAUUUACACCUUUUUUGUUUCAGUUUUGGUUUUUGCUAAUAUAAGUAGAAUUAUUUUCUUAAUUUCUUUUUUGGAUUUGUUGUUGGCCUCUAGAAAUGCUGCUGAUUUUUGUGUGUUGACUGUGUACAGCAAUUUUACUGACUUUAUUAGUUCUAACAGUUUUUUGGUGGAGUCUUUUGGGUUUUCUAUAUAUAAGAUCAUAUUGUCAACAAAGAGAAAAUUCCAAUGCUUCCUUUCCUAUUAAGAUGCCUUUUAUUUCUCUUGCUUAAUUAUUCUGACUAGAACUUCCAGUGCUAUGUUGAAAAAAAAAAAAGCAGUAAGAGUGGGCAUCCUUUUCUUGUUCCUGAUCUUAAAGGAAAUGCCUUCAACUUUUCACUGUUGAGAAUGUUAGCUGUAGGCUUAUCAUAUAUGACCUUUAUUGUGUUGAGGUACGUUCCUUCUAUACCUAAUUUGUUGAGAAUUUUCAUCAUGAAAGGAUGUUUAAUUUCAUCAAAUGCUUUUUAUGUAUCUAUUGAAAUGAUCAUAUGAUUUUUGUUUAUGUGGUGUAUCACAUUUAUAGAUUCCCAUAUGUUGAACCAUACUUGCAUCCCAGGGAUAAAUCCCACUAGAUCAUGGUGAAUUAUUCUUUGAAUGUAUUGUUGAAGUCAGUAUGCUAGUAUUUUGUUGAGGAUUUUUGUAUCUAUACUCAUUAGGGAUAUGACCUGUAAUUCUUUAGUGCUUUUUAAAUGUAUAUAGUUUAUCUCCCCAAAGAUUCUGAAAUAUCUGAGUGCUGAGACCAUGUCUUUUAUUUUUGUAAAUACCCCUCAAUCCACCCUCCAUCACCCGCUUUCCCACUCCCCACGCCUGUUGUGUUUAAGGAUGGUACCUCGGAGUACUGUUCAAUCAGGCAAAGACUCUCUAAAGAUUUUAAGAGUGGCUGGGUGCAGUGGUUCACGCCUGUAAUCCCAACACUUUGAGAGGCCGAGGUGGGUGGAUCACCUGAGGUCAGGAGUUGGAGACCAGCCUGGCCAACAUGGUGAAACCUCAUCUCUACAAAAAUACAAAAAAAUUAGCCGAGCGUGGUGGCGGGUGCCUGUAAUCCCAGCUACUCAGGAGGCUGAGGCUGGAGAAUUGCUUGAACCCGGGAGGCGGAGAUUGCAGUGACCCAAGAUCUCGCCACUGCACUCCAGCCUCGGUGACAGAGUAAGACUCCGUCUCAGAAAAAAGAUUUUAAGAGUAUGGCUCACAGGUCCUCUCAUUCAAACAAUAGGGCUUCUAAGAAACUUAAGGUCUUUGUCCUUCAGCAGAAGCCCAAGGUAGAAAAAGACAUAUCUCAAAGGUAUUUGCUGCCAUGGCUUUUGUCUCCUGGACUAAAACCCAGUAAGAUUCACAGUAGAUUCAAAAAUUGUUUUAAGAGAAUUGUAUUGUCAGAAAUACUGUCAGCUUGAGCUGAAAAAGAGUACAAAAAGGAAAGGGGCCUUUGGACCCUUUCUACAAACGCAUUUCUACAAACAGGAAGCAGGCUAAGAAAACUAUUUAGGUCCAAACACAUCUCCCUUUCACACAAAAAAGGAUGACUUAGAGGAUAAAACCAAGAGCCCAGAAGGUGGAACCAAAAGCCAUAGGGAGUUAUUCCCAGGCUUUGAGUGUAGAACUGCAAACCUGUACUCAAAUGGAUUUCAGAAUUGCUAUGAACCAGUGACUUCUGUGCACCUUGGUUUCCACCUGUUGGAACAGGAGUGUCUAUAGCAGUUAUCUCCCUGCCCCUGCUGUUUUACAUUGGUUGCUGUGGGGAAAGGAGCAUAUGACCUUUUUCUUUUUGUUCGCAGAACUUCAGAUUGAAAAGCAUGUACUUGAGUAGCUGUAUUUAAGGAAUUACACCCAAGAAGUCUCAUCUUCCCUGGACUUACGUAGAGGAUAAGAUUCUGAACUUUGAAUUGAUGCUAUAAUGGGAUAAGACUUUGGGGCCUUAGAAGGGGUAAGUUUAUUUUGCAUGUGGGAGAACUAUAAAUAAUUUGUGACCAGAGGGUUGCCUGAGGUAGUCUUAAAAUAUGUCCACAAACACUUUGAUAUUUGUAUUCAUUUCCUAUGCUGUGGUAACAAAUUACCACAAACUUAGUGGCUUAAAUAGCACAAAUUUAUCAUCCCAAGUUUCUGGAGGCCAGAAGUACAAAAUGAGCCUUACAGUGUUAAAAUCAAAGGCUGCAUUUCUUAUUGAGGCCGUGGAAGAGAAUCCAUUCUUUGCCUUUUCCAACUUCUACGGGCUGUAUACAUUGCUUGACUUAUGGCCAUAUCAGUCUGACCCACUUCCAUUCACUCUCACUCUGGCCCCCCUAACUCCCUCUCUUUUUUUUUUUUUUUUUUUUUUUUGAGACAGAGUAUUACUCUGUCAUCCAGGCUGGAGUGCUGUGGCACAAUCUCGGCUCACUGUAACCUUUGCCUCCUGGGUUCAAGCGAUUCUUAUGCCUUGGCCUCACAAGUAGUUGGGAUUACAGGUGCGUGCCACCAUGCCCAACUAAUUUUUUUGUAUUUUUAGUAGAGACAGGGUUUCGCCAUGUUGGCCAGGCUGGUCUCAAACUCAUGGCCUCAAGUGAUCCAACCACCUCAGCCUCCCAAAGUCCUGGGAUUACAGGCAUGAGCCACUAAGCCCAGCCCUGACCCCCUCUUAUAAGGACACUUGUGAUUACAUUGAGCCUCCCCAGAUAAUCCAGGAUGAUUGCCUCAUCUAAAGAUCAUUAAUUAUGUCAACAAAGUUGUUUGUUCCACGUAAGGUAACAUAUUCACAGGUUCUGGAGAUGGGGAUGUGGCUGUCUUUGGGGGGCAAUGAUUCUGUACACAAUGCUCCUCCCUUCAAGAGGUGGCAUCUAUUUCCCUCCUCUUGAAUGUUAGCUGGAUUUAGUGGGCUACUUCUAAUGAAUAGUGUAUGGCAGAAAUUAUGGUGUAACACUUACAAAACUAAGUCAUAAAAAAAUUGUAGCUUCCUCCCUGUUCUCUCUUGGAUUACUCCCGCUGGGAGAAACUAGCUGACAUGUCAUGCAGACACUCAAGCAGUCCUAUAGAGAUAUCCAAGUGGUGAGGAACUAAGGUCUAUUGCCAAUAGCCAGCAUGGAAUUGAUGCCUCCUGCCAACAGCCAUGUGAGUAAGCCAUCUUAGAAAAGGAUUCUCCAGCCCUUUUUAGCCUUCAACCGACUACAGCCCUGGCCAACAGUUUGACUCCAACCUCAUGAGAGUCUCUGAGCCAGAACCACCCAGCUAAGCCAUUCCUAAAUUCCUGACCACAGAAACAGCAAGAUAAUGUUUGUUGUUUUAAGCUACUAAAUUGUGGAGUAAUUUCUUAUGCAGCAACAGAUAACUAAUACAAUCCCCACUGGGUGUGGUGGCAUGCACCUGUAGUCCCAGCUACGUGGGGAGGUUGAGGUGGGAGGAUUGCUUGAACCCAGGAGUUCGAGUCCAACCUGGGCAACAAAGCAAGACCUUACCUCCUUAAAAAAAUUUUAAAAAUAAAUAAAAUAAUACAAUCCCCAAGGUCACAUAUUGAGCUAUGAGGGCUACUUAACUUCUAGGUAUUAACUCUGCAUUCCCGCCUGCAAGAUGAAGGAAAUGGAGAAAAGUAUGUUCCUUCCCUUAAACAGCAUUUACUGGAAGUUGCAUACACCUCUUUCAUUUACAUCUCAUUGUCUAUGAGAUGGACAUGGCACAUGUAGCUACAAGAUUUUUGCAUGCUCUUUGUAUCUAGCAACUUUACUAAAUUUGCUUAUUAGUAAUAAAAGAAUAUUUAUUCUGGGCAACCAUGUGCCCAACUAAACAGCAGAAGUUCUAAUAUUAUGUGAGAAGGAGAAAACAUACUGGGCACAAUCAGCAAUCUCUGUCACAAUGGUGAGUGUAAGGGUCAGGAAAGGCAAAGUCCAGCACACACCCAUCAACAUUUUUUUCCAAUUUCUUAACGAAGUAUUUCCAUUGGCCACCAAAGCGAUAUUUACACAUCAUCACUGUGAUCUCUCCAAAGAAUCAAGCCAAUUCUGUAUGAGUCACUGGAAAAUCCAAUUACUAUACUAAAAUGAAAUCAAUUGUGAAACGUUUUCCUUACAAGUUCUUAUUGGGGACACUGCUAAAGAAUAAUUUAAAAUGGACAUUUUGUUUAAAGGCUCCUAAAUUUUCUAAAUGGUGCUUUCUGUGAGCAAUCUUUGAUGUGUCAGAAAAUAUACAGCUGAUGAAAGUGUUUCCUUUAUGCAAGGAGUUGGAGGGGCUUCAUUAUAACAUUAGCAGCCUCAAGGAAGGCAGUCAUGUUCCUGACCUCUUCAUUUUCUUUUCACAUACAAACCAUUCUUAGGUAGCCACAUUAAGUGGAUUUUUAAAUUUUUAUGUAAUGAUAUACUUAACCCUAAUCACAAGCUUCUAAGACUGCCUCCUUGCAUGUUUUAACCAAACUAAAACAAAUUAGGAAUAUAUACUUCCAUAAAUAUAUUGUAUUAUAAAACCAAUUAGAAAUGAUUUUUAAAUGGCUUAUUUGCAGAGCAUACGUUAUGGUUCCAUUAUACUGUGAAAACUGAGUAAUUCCCAGGCAAUCUGCUUGUAAUUGGUCCCAGUGGCCAUUAGAUGGCUCUGUUACUGUAGAGUUUGGACUACCGAAGCCAAGCGUUAAAGGAUUACAAAUGUGGCUUGACAUAUAGCUUUUCAUCUCAUUUUACAUAAGAUCCUCUAUUUUCAUCCAGACAUUUAGUCAGCAGUUACCAAGACGUAAAUAAAACAUAGUGAAUCUCACAAGAUUUCACCAUAAAAGGUCUCAGUCUAUGUUCACGUAAUCUCUUAAUGAUGUCAUGUAUUGUAUUAUGCUCAAAAAAUGUACAUUAUGUUAGGAAUUUAAGACUCAGGCCAGGCACCGUAGCUCACACUUGUAAUUCCAGUACUUUAGGAGGUAAAGGUGGAAGGAUUGCUUGAGCCCAGGAGUUUGAGACCAGCCGGGGCAAUAUAGUGAGACCUCAUCUCUACAAAAAAAUAUGUAUUUAAUUAGCCGAGUAUGGUGGCAUGUGUCUGUAGUCCCAACGCUUUGGAAGGCCAAGGCAGGAGAAUCCCUUGAGCUUGGGAGGUCAAGGCUGCAGUGGCCAUGAUGAUGCCACUGCAUUCUGGCAACAAAAUGAGAUCCCGUCUGAAAAAAAAAAAAAGGACUUAAAGACAAAGAUUAUGUUAUCAGUGUUCUGUAAGGUACUUCAGUCCCACACUGUUGGUGUUCAAUAAAUUUUAAACAGCCUUUUGGCUGUAAAGUAAAAAAUUCUAAGUAUUAUUCUAGCAUCCUAUAGGAUGAUAAUGUUAAUAAUUAAGAUUUUGAUCCUAUCUCCUGUGAAUAAAUUCUGUAAGAAUAUUUCCUUGCUUGUGUCUUAGUACACAUAAAAAGUAUCCUGUUAGUUUUUCCCCAGGAUUCUAUUCUUCCAGUUUUUCAUGGGAAUUUGUGGUCAUGAGUGAAAGCAAGAUACCCAAGAUCAUUUAACCUGGAAAAUAGGUCAAAGUAGAUUUUCAUUUUGUGUGGGUGGAUAUUUCAUCUUCUGAGUAUGUCAGGCAAGGUUUGCUAUUAACUGUAUAUAGUAACUAAGCUGCCUUACUAUAAAGUUCUUUCUAGGCAAGAAGGCUAAAUAUGUGAUUCCUUAAAUCAGUUGUUCUUAAACUUGAGCAUGAAUUAGAAUCACCAGGGAGGCUUCUUAAAACAGAUCAUGGGUCCCCACUCCCAGAUUUUCUGAUUCAGCAGCUGUGGGGUGGGGCCUGUCAAUUUUCAUUUCUAACAAGUUUCCAGCUGAUAUUGAUGUUGCUGGUCUUGGGACCACACUUUGACACCCACUGCCUUAAAUAAAAUUUAGGCAUUUAAAUGGUCCUGUAAAUAAUUUGCCAUUAAGCUAUUAUUUUAUCCAUUUAUGCUUCCUACAAACAAAAUCUAGGCUACACUGGCAGUCUGUUCUUUUGAGGUUGCACAAGUUCCUAAAUAAUACCCAAUUAAAAAAAAAAAACCGCAAACUCUUAGAACAGUAAUAACCUACUCAUUUAAAAAAUAUUAAGUCUAAAGAGGGCCGGGCCUGGUGGCUCACACCUGUAAUUCCAGCAUUUUGGGAAGCCGAGGCCGGCGGAUCAGUUGAGGUCAGGAGUUUGUGACCAGCCUGGCCAACAUGGUGAAACCCUGUCUCUACUAAAAAUACAAAAAUUAGCCGGAUGUGAUGAUGCACACCUGUAAUCCCAGCUACUCAGGAGGCUGAGGCAGGAGAAUUGCUUGAGCCCCGGAGGCAGAUGUUGUAGUGAGCAGGGAUCACACCACUGCACUCCAGCCUGGGCAACAGAGAGAGACUCCAUCUCAAAAAUAAAUAAAAAUACAAAAAUUUGCCAGGUAUGGUGGUGGGCGCCUGUAAUCCCAGCCACUCGGGAGGCUGAGGCAGGAGAAUCUCCUGAGCCCAGGAAGCAGAGGUUGCAAUGAGCCGAGAUCGCGCUCACUUCACUCCAGCCUGGGCAACAGAGCGAGACUCCAUCUCAACAACAACAACAAAAAAAUCUAAAGAGAAGCUCUGGAUUCUGAAGCUAGCUUCAGUACCCAUAGUAGUCAUCAUUCUGUUACAUUUGGAAACAUGCUUGUUCUAAAAUAAUCAUUUCUGAGUCAAUGACACCUAUUCUUUUCAUCCAAAGGAAACAGAAAUAACAACACAGGAAGCACUGAGCAGCCUUAGGCCAAUUCUUUUUGGAAAGUACAUUUAAUUUACUGUUGCACAAACCCAAACAGAGAAGGUGGUUAGGAAGUGAGGAAGGCACUUAAGAAAUUUCAACCACAGCCGGGGGCAGUGGCUCACGCCUGUAAUCCCAGCACUUUGGGAGGCCGAGGCGGGAGGAUCACGAGGUCAGGAGAUCGAGACCUUCCUGGCUAACACCGUGAAACCCCGUCUCUACUAAAAAUACAAAAAGAAAUUAGCCGGGCGUGGUGGCAGGUGCCUGUAAUCCCAGCUACUCGGGAGGCUGAGGCAGGAGAAUGGCGUGAACCCGGGAGGCGAAGCUUGCAGUGAGCAGAGAUCGUGCCACUGCACUCCAGCCUGGGUGAUAGAGCAAGACUCUGUCUCAAAAAAAAAAAAAAAAAGAAAAGAAAUUUCAACCAGGAAUACUUAACAAAGAAAAAGAGGCCUUUGGACCCCAUUAAAAUCAUGGAUGACUGGCCGGGCACAGUGCUUCACACUUGUAAUCCCAGCACUGUGGGAGGCCGAGGAAGGUGGAUCGCCUAAGGUCAGGAGUUCGAGACCAGCCUGGCCAACAUGGUGAAACCCCGUCUCUACUAAAAAUACAAAAAUUAGCCGGGUGUGGUGGCGGGUGCCUGUAAUCCCGGCUACUGGGGAGGCUGAGGCAGGAGAAUGGCUUGAACCUGAGAGGCAGAGAUUGCAGUGAACUGAGAUCUUGCCAUUGCAUUCCAGCUUGGGCAACAAGAGUGAGGCUUUGUCUCAAAUUAAAAAAAAAAUCAUGGAUGACCUGGGAAUCUCAGAGAAGUAAAGAACUGACUCCUAAUAUGGCAACUUGUCAGGAAUAUUCAAAGUUUUCCGUUAUUGUCCACAGAUCCUGAGACUGGACAUAAAUUUUCUCCAAAAGAGCUAGACACAAUCCCUUUGUGCCGUGUUAUCUGAUGCCAGAACACUGUUUAGCUGUUCACCCCACAGGCCAAAACUGCUAUUUGCUACCUCAUGAAUGCAGCUACAGGUUAUCCCCACAUAUUGACAAAUAAUAUUGGUCUUCAAGACCUGUGAACUUCAUUCCAGUAGCUCAGACAAGAUUCCUGAUUUGAUUCACCUGUUAAAUACAUUUUCUUCCCCCUUUGAUACAGUUUCUUCAUAUAAAACAUCUUAUCUAAAGAAAAUGUCCCAUUAACACUCUCAUGGACUCUGUCUUAGUAACUGAAGAUUAUAAUCACAGGCGUGAGCCACCACACCUGUCUUAGUAGCUGAAGGUUAUAAUUACAGGCAUGAGCUUCCACACCUGUUCCCUGCCACUAUUUCUAAGGACUUCUUGGAUCCAUGACUAUCCCUCCCCGCCCCCUAUUUAUCCCUCUACCAUACUGCCAUUCCCUACAGUAAGGAGUAAUCCAUGGGUGAGACAGGGCUCAGUCAUUGCCCCAUAUCUAAUUCCAAGGCUUAUUCUCAAUGUUAACACAAUAAUACAGAAUAGAUAUUUCAGCUACUUAUGGAUUCCUCUUCCCUAAUAUGUGGAUGCAAAUGUGUGCAAAGUGAAGAAAGAAAUAAUAACUAAAUGAAGCUUAAGUGCUACAUCAGGAGAGACGUAACUAUUAACAAAUGUUGGAAAACGGGUUUGGAGAGAGGAUAGAAUGAGACUUUCAUUGAGAAAGGUGAUAUGGAAUGACAUCUGCUCUUGCCAAAGCCAGGUCUCUCAGAUCUCCCAACUAAAAACACAAACAGUAUCAAUAUCCCAGAGAAUCUUAACCGCACAUUUGAUGACACAGUAAGUCCCAGCAUCUUAGAAUGUUGAUACUGAAAGAGACCUUCAAGACUGGCUGCUAAAAUCCCAUCAUUUCUCAAACUAGAAAACAGCUUUAAGAAGAAGAAAGUGACUUGCCUUAAUUAAAGAUUAUUUAGCUGUAACACUGAGGCCAGAGCUCCAGUUUUCUGCUCAUGGAACAAAUGUUGAUAAGUCUUUCUUUUUUUCUUGGGCAUUUGGGGGUGGCUUUUAAUGUUGGAUGUAUGUCAACACCAAUGGAGCCACUGCUUUUCUGGGACAAAAGAACAGUCCCUCUUCCUCAGGAAAGGUCCAAUGUGUCCACACAUCUAUCCCCAUAGCCUUCUAUCAUGAGAGAGCCCCUCACAGAUCCAGCCACUGGCCAGUGACUUGCUGUGAAUGAUGCCAAGUGGGAGUGUCUGUACCCUGCCCAAGUCUGUGUGGUUUCCUAUGCUCUCCUUCUUUGCCAUCACAUAAAUUUACAAAUAUAAUGCAAGCAUGUUUAUAUACAUGUUCUUUUAAGUUAAGAAAACCUCAUCAUGAGAAAAAUAAAAUAAAAUUGCACUGUGGCCUCUCAGAUUAAAGACUGAGUUAAAAUGAGGUUGUCCAACCCAUAGAAGAACAGGCCACACGUGCUGAUACAACUGACCCAUCAUUCCAUCCUGGCACUUAUUCCCAGCCAACUCAUGGGAAUAAUUCCUUCACAAGGCAGCCAAGAGGUAGAAGGUAAAUACAAUCAGCCCCAUGGAUGGAUACAGCACACCAAGGCACAGGGCCAGGUAUGUGGAGGUGCUAUGGAUGAGGGACAGGAGGCCGGAAGCAUAGGGCCAGACCUCUGGCUCUACAAUAGCACUCUCUCCCUUUGAGGAAAAGCAUUUGGUCAUGAGAGACAUCCCCAGCUCAUAGCAAAUGUCUACAGCAGUGAGGGUGUGGAAUUAGGAGGUAAAGAGAUGGUGCUGGCCUAAGGGUGACACACUUCUUCUAAACAAACCUCCAGAGUAGAGCUGCCAAUAAGGCAAAUCUGAAGGGUUGUGAUUAUGAACUGGGAGAUGCUGGUACAUCCCCCAGGCCAUGAAUGACCCCUGAGUGGCCCAGACAUCCUCACUCCCAACAGGUCAAAGAAUUAGCUUGCAAGGACUUCCCUUGCGAGAGAACCAUAGCUGGGUUGAGGGGAUGGCAAAAGGCACAGGCAGCUCUAAUAGUUCAGCUCUCCCUGACUCCUCCUUCGGCCUGAGGGAGGGGAAAGGAGGCAGAGGUACAGAUGACCCGGGCUGCCAAGCCCAGCAGUUCCUACCAUAGCUGCUGAGAGUCAGGCCUGAGAACCAUAAAUUUAUGAACUCAGGGUAGAGCCAAGGCUUGGUGUCCCUUCCUCUGGAAUGAGAGGCCUCAGCCCUGCCCUUCUCUUCAGGGACAAUGGCCUGAUGAGGAAAGCUGGCUUCUCACUGAGGUAAUGAAGAACACCUGCUCAGCUCCAUAGUCACCCUCAAGCUAAGCAGGAAGAAUCCCUGCAGGAGGCAUUCUGGGACAAAGGCUAAGGAGCUCAGCUUAUCAGGACACAUCACAAUUUUAAAUUACACACUCCCACACACAACACACACACAUAAACACACAGACCCCCACAUACACACACACAGACCCACACUUCCACAUACUGACAUUCUCCCAACCUACCCCACUCUGAGCCCCAAAUCCCUCCCCACAAAUACUGUCCUCUGUAAACAUGAUGGCAGGGACUCCUGCAAUCGUGGCACAGGCUGAUAAUGAUCUGAGGAUGACUGCUUAUCAUUAAGUGCCCCGGUACGUGAUAUUGGUGAAGGUAGACGUGGCCUCUUUAUACAGUGGGUUGUUGGCCUGUGGAGGAAACAGAAUAGCAUCUUACAGUGACUUCCUUAAGUCCUUCCCUACCCUGAAUGUUUAAAAUUCAUCUCAGAAGUUUUCCCAAGGCACCGUUCUCUGGAAUACAUCAUCAAUGAAACAGAAUAAUGUUCAUUUUGCUCACACUUUAGUUCUUGGCAUGGGAAUUGAUAGGAAAUAAC
rnacentral:lncRNA from 1 species